rnacentral:rRNA from 1 species
UACAGAGGGUGCUAGCGUUGCUCGGAUUGACUGGGCGUAAAGGGCGCGUAGGCGGUUCGUACAGUCAGACGUGAAAUUCCUGGGCUCAACCUGGGGGCUGCGUUUGAUACGUGCGGACUUGAGUGCGGAAGAGGGUCGUGGAAUUCCCAGUGUAGAGGUGAAAUUCGUAGAUAUUGGGAAGAACACCGGUGGCGAAGGCGGCGACCUGGUCCGAUACUGACGCUGAGGCGCGAAAGCGUGGGGAGCAAACAGG